UUCAAAGGCACAGAUGUGGCAUUUCAAAAUCUUUCCAACAUGGCGGACAGUCCCCGCAACAGUGGAUACUUUCUUAAUGGCAAGCCAAGCUCUGGGAGCGCGAGUGACGUAAUAAGGUGACUGCAGUCAGAUUUGUCUCUGCUGGAGUGGACUUCACCAGCUACAAACGAAUACACGAGUUACAAGCGAAUACAAGUGUGCACUGUCACCUGAGGGUUCACUCGGCCUGACUGAAGGAUGUCAGAGCUCUAGACAGAAGGCCAGUAGUUAAAGGUCGCUGAUGAUAAUAGAAUGGCUUGGAAAUGUAAGUUGUGUGCAACUGUGACAAGUACUGAUAUACGAAGAGGCAGGACGCAGACGCAGGAAUUAACAAGGUCAAGGUUUAAUUAAUAAUGAG